GAUUUAAGUAAUUACAGAAGCACAGCUAUUCCUGGAUCCUCACAAUGACAUAUUUUUACUUUCUUGGGUUCUUUAUACUAUGCCUUAAAAUGGAUACGUCUUUACAACAGGAAGCAAUAACAUGUAAACUACAACUGCCAGGGCUGAAAGGAACCAGCUAUGAACCUGCUUAUAGAAACACGUUUCUACCUGGUGACCAAGUGACAGUAACUUGUGAAGACAAGUACUGGAUUUUUGGGCAUCAACCGACUUCAGUCGUAACUACAUGCAAAGAGGACGGAGAGUGGACUAUCAGACCUCUAUGCCAAGAGGUUACGUGCAGCAAACAAGGAGUCCCACAUGUGUCUUCAUGGGACAGUCGUCGGCAGCAAACAUUCAAAUCGGGUGAGACGACACGUUACGGGUGUGAGACAGGCUACAGGAGGAAAGAUGGCGCCAGCAGGGCCACAUGCACCCGAGAUGGAUGGCAACCAAAUCCACUUUGUGAAGAGAUAAUAUGUACAGCACCCGAGAUUGAAAAUGGUGAUGUGCUUGGACAAAUCCAAGAGUACAUAGAAAAUCAAGUCCUGGAGUUUCAGUGUAAACCCUCAUUUAGACGCGCUGAAGCCAGAUCUUCAAAAUGCACAAAGCAAGGAGUAAGAGCAGAAUGGAGCCCCACAACCUCUGUGUGAAUCAAUAACAUGUAAACUACAACUGCCAGGGCUGAAAGGAACCAGCUAUGAACCUGCUUAUAGAAACACGUUUCUACCUGGUGACCAAGUGA